UUAAGUAAGGAAGGGCGUACGGCGAAUGCCUUGCCACUCGAAACUGAAGAAGGACGCGCCAAACUGCGAAAAGCUCCGUGAAGCUGUAAGGAAGCGAAGAAGCGGAGGUGUCCGAAUGGGGGAACCCGGCAGCAGACAUGAGCUGUCAUCUGCAGGUGAAUACAUGGCCUGCAAGAGAGGUACCCGGCGAACUGAAACAUCUAAGUAGCCGGAGGAAAAGAAAACAACAGUGAUUCCCUGAGUAGCGGCGAGCGAAAGGGGAGAAGCCCAAACCGGUUGAAGGACCGGGGUUGAAGGACCAUGACAUGGCAAGAACGAGGAUAGGAGAACGGGAUCGAAAGCCCGGCCGAAGAAGGUGAAAGCCCUGUAACCGAAAUCCGAGUAAAGCCUAAUGGGAUCCUGAGUACGGCGAGACACGAGAAAUCUUGUCGGAAGCAGGCGGGACCAUCCGCCAAGGCUAAAUAUAAACGAGUGAGCGAUAGUGAACCAGUACCGUGAGGGAAAGGUGAAAAGAACCGCGGGAGCGGAGUGAAAGAGAACCUGAAACCGUAUGCCUACAAGAAGUCAGAGCCCGUUAAGGGGUGAUGGCGUGCCUUUUGUAGAAUGAACCGGCGAGUUGCGACAGACUGCGAGGUUAAGGAGGAAAGACCGGAGCCGAAGCGAAAGCGAGUCUUAAGAGGGCGCAAGUCAGGAAGCGUAGACCCGAAACCACAGUGAUCUACCCAUGUCCAGGUUGAAACACAGGUAAAAAUGUGUGGAGGACCGAACCUAUAUCCGUUGAAAAGGGUUAGGAUGAGGUGUGGGUAGGGGUGAAAUUCCAAUCGAACGUGGAGAUAGCUGGUUCUCCCCGAAAUAGCUUUAGGGCUAGCCUCAGGGAAAAGAUUGCAGGCGGUAGAGCACUGAUCAGGAGAGGGACCUACCCGGUUACCAAACCCAGUCAAACUCCGAAUGGCUGCAAUCAUACCUGGGAGUCAGACUGCGACUAAUAAGGGCCGCAGUCAAAAGGGAAACAGCCCAGACCAUCAGCUAAGGUCCCCAAUGCCGUGCUAAGUGGCGAAGGAUGUGGCAUUUCAUAAACAACCAGGAUGUUGGCUCAGAAGCAGCCACCAUUUAAAGAGUGCGUAAUAGCUCACUGGUCGAGAGACGCUGCGCCGAAAAUGUCCGGGGCUCAAGCACGGAACCGAAGCUAUGGCAUGAUAGCAAUAUCAUGGGUAGGGGAGCGUUCUUAUAAGGAAGAAGCAUGACCGGAAGGACAUGUGGACAAAUAAGAAGUGAGAAUGCCGGUAUGAGUAUCGAAAAGAAAGGUGAGAAUCCUUUCCACCGAAAGCCCGAGGGUUCCUGAGCAACGAUCGUCGACUCAGGGUAAGUCGGGACCUAAGCCGAGGCGAGAAGCGUAGGCGAUGGACAACAGGUUGAAAUUCCUGUACCGGAUCAAGUCGAUCGAGCGAAGGAGCGACGCAGGAGGGCACAUGAUCGCGCGGCUGGAAGAGCGCGUCCAAGUGCGUAUGUUGCCGCAGAGGAAAACCCCUGCAGCUAAAAGCAGAGACAUGAUGGGGAGUUAAAGGAAACUUUGACGAACUCAUGGAUCCCACACUGCCAAGAAAAACUUCUAGCGAGACAAGAUCCGCCCGUACCGUAAACCGACACAGGUAGGCGGGGAGAGAAUCCUAAGGUGCGCGGGAAAACCCUCGUUAAGGAACUCGGCAAAUUGCAUCCGUAACCUAGGGAGAAGGAUGGCCCCCGGUCAGUGAAGAGCAGAAACGCUCAGAGCUAAAAGGGGCGGCAGAAAAGAGGCCCAAGCAACUGUUUACCAAAAACACAGGUGCCUGCGAAAGCGAAAGCUGAAGUAUAGGUGCUGACGCCUGCCCGGUGCCGGAAGGUUAAGGAGAGAAGUUAGCGAACGCGAAGCAUCGAACUGAAGCCCCGGUGAACGGCGGCCGUAACUAUAACGGUCCUAAGGUAGCGAAAUUCCUUGUCGGGUAAG
rnacentral:rRNA from 1 species